rnacentral:lncRNA from 1 species
AAAUUUGGAGGUACAGGAAGAAGCAGGGGAGGUGCAGGGAGGAACACUCCCUCUCUAAACUCUCUUUUUUUUUCUCUCUUUUUUUUUCUUUUUUUUCUUUUUUUUUCUUCACUCUCCCAACCUUAUUCACGUAAACACACAGAGACACUUAUACACUACAAUUCUUUCAUUUCACUAUUCUCUCUCCUCCACUCAAUGCUCACGGUCCCACACAAUAUCCUACAUACUUUUAUUUUUCUUUUUCACUCACCUUCUCUACCAUUUAUGUAUCAAUACUACAACACCCAUAUUUCUUCUUUUGACUUUUGAACCCCAAAACCUCUCUCAUUCUCCUCUCUCAUCUCACGUCAAAAACAAACACCCAUCUUCCUUCCUCUUUUCACGUCAACCAUGCGACAUCUUCAUCACCAUCUCUCUCAUGUUAACCACCGUGACUCCUCC